rnacentral:ncRNA from 1 species
CUGGCUUGAAUUUUUAAUUUUUAAAUUAUUUUAUAUGCAAAUUUUAGUUUGAUUUUAUUAUAUUUUAUAUAGAUAUAUUAAUUUAUUUAGUUUAUAAAUUCGCAAUAUUGAAGAUUAAAUAUAAAAGAAAUUUUGAUUUAGGAAUUUAUAAUAGUAAUGACAAAAUUUGUGCCAGCAGUCGCGGUUACACAAAUGUUGCAAUUAAAUUUGUUCAGUAAAUAAUUAAUUUAUGUUUGUUGUAGUUGAAGGUUAAAUUUAUUAGGUGAAAUUAUUAAUUUUAAUUAAAACUAUAAAAUAAGAAAUGAGGUUAUGAAAUUUUUAUUAUAAACUAGGAUUAGAUACCCUAUUAUUGAAAAUUUAAAUUAUAAAUACUUGAGUAGUAGUAGUUACGUUCUUGAAAUUCAAAGAAUCUGGCGGUAUUUUAGUCUAUUCAGAGGAACCUGUCCUGUAAUUGAUAAUCCACGAUUAAUUUUACUUAUUUUAAAGGUUUGUAUAUCGUCGUAGUUUGAAUGUUUUAAGAGGAUAAGUAAUGUUCAAUAUUUAUUAUUAUAAAUAAAAUCAGAUCAAGAUACAGCGUAUAGAUGAGAAGAGAUGGGUUACAAUAAAUUUAUUUAUAUGGUUAAUAUGUUUAAUAAUAUAUUAUAAAGUGGAUUUGAUAGUAAUAUAAUUAAUUUAAAUUAUAUGAUUUUAGCUCUAAAAUAUGUACAUAUCGCCCGUCGCUCCCAUUUUAAGAUGGGAUAAGUCGUAACAAAGUAGGCGUACUGGAAAGUGUGCCUGGUAAGG